rnacentral:rRNA from 1 species
GAUGAACGCUGGCGGCGUGCCUAAUACAUGCAAGUCGAGCGAACGGACGAGAAGCUUGCUUCUCUGAUGUUAGCGGCGGACGGGUGAGUAACACGUGGAUAACCUACCUAUAAGACUGGGAUAACUUCGGGAAACCGGAGCUAAUACUGGAUAAUACUUUGAACCGCAUGGUUCAAAAGUGAAAGACGGUCUUGCUGUCACUUAUAGACGGAUCCGCGCUGCAUUAGCUAGUUGGUAAGGUAACGGCUUACCAAGGCAACGAUGCAUAGCCGACCUGAGAGGAUGAUCGGCCACACUGGAACUGAGACACGGUCCAGACUCCUACGGGAGGCAGCAGUAGGGAAUAUUCGGCAAUGGGCGAAAGCCUGACCGAGCAACGCCGCGUGAGUGAUGAAGGUCUUCGGAUCGUAAAACUCUGUUAUUAGGGAAGAAAAGAUGUGUAAGUAACUGUGGACAUCUUGACGGUACCUAAUCAGAAAGCCACGGCUAACUACGUG